GAUGAACGCUGGCGGCGUGCUUAACACAUGCAAGUCGAACGAGAAUCUACGGAUAGAGGAUUCCGUCCAAUUGAAGUAGAGGAAAGUGGCGGACGGGUGAGUAACGCGUGAGGAACCUGCCUAGGAGUGGGGGAAUAACAGUCCGAAAAGGACUGCUAAUACCGCAUAAUGCAGUUGGGUCGCAUGGCUCUGACUGCCAAAGAUUUAUCGCUCUUAGAUGGCCUCGCGUCUGAUUAGCUAGUUGGUAGGGUAACGGCCUACCAAGGCGACGAUCAGUAGCCGGUCUGGGAGGAUGAACGGCCACAUUGGGACUGAGAUACCGGCCCAGACUCCUACGGGAGGCAGCAGGUGGGGAAUAUUGGGCAAUGGGGGAAACCCUGACCCAGCAACGCCGCGUGAAGGAAGAAGGCCUUCGGGUUGUAAACCUUUGUUGACAGGGAAGAAGAAAGUGACGGUACCUGUAAAGAAAGCCACGGCUAAUUACGUG
rnacentral:rRNA from 1 species